rnacentral:rRNA from 1 species
GAUGAACGCUGGCGGCGUGCCUAAUACAUGCAAGUCGAGCGAACGGACGAGAAGCUUGCUUCUCCGAUGUUAGCGGCGGACGGGUGAGUAACACGUGGAUAACCUACCUAUAAGACUGGGAUAACUUCGGGAAACCGGAGCUAAUACCGGAUAAUAUUUUGAACCGCAUGGUUCAAAAGUGAAAGACGGCCUUGCUGUCACUUAUAGAUGGAUCCGCGCUGCAUUAGCUAGUUGGUAAGGUAACGGCUUACCAAGGCAACGAUGCAUAGCCGACCUGAGAGGGUGAUCGGCCACACUGGAACUGAGACACGGUCCAGACUCCUACGGGAGGCAGCAGUAGGGAAUCUUCCGCAAUGGGCGAAAGCCUGACGGAGCAACGCCGCGUGAGUGAUGAAGGUCUUCGGAUCGUAAAACUCUGUUAUUAGGGAAGAACAUAUGUGUAAGUAACUGUGCACAUCUUGACGGUACCUAAUCAGAAAGCCACGGCUAACUACGUG